rnacentral:rRNA from 1 species
GGCCCAGAUCGUUUACCGUGAAAAAAUUAGAGUGUUCAAAGCAGGCAGAUCCAAUUCUCUGCCACCGAAUACAUUAGCAUGGGAUAAUGGAAUAGGACCCUGUCCUCCUAUUUUCAGUUGGUUUUGGCAGCGCGAGGACUAGGGUAAUGAUUAAUAGGGAUAGUUGGGGGCAUUAAUAUUUAAUUGUCAGAGGUGAAAUUCUUGGAUUUAUGAAAGAUUAACUUCUGCGAAAGCAUCUGCCAAGGAUGUUUUCAUUAAUCAAGAACGAAAGUUAGGGGAUCGAAGACGAUCAGAUACCGUCGUAGUCUUAACCAUAAACGAUGCCGACCAGCGAUUAGGAGACGUUGAAUACAAAACACCACCAUCGGUGCGGCUGUUCUUGGCGUCGGUUUCGGCCGGCGCGGGGAUGGCUUAGCCCGGUGGCACCGGUGAAUGACUCCCCUAGCAGCUUGUGAGA